rnacentral:rRNA from 1 species
UGUGCAGAGGGAAAUAACAGGUUGUGCGUCUCUGUCAGAGACUACUACUGUUAUAUGCUGCAGACACGGCCUGCAAUCUUCAAUCCCAUACUCUGUGGAGCACGACUGCUGCAACAAUGGGCUGUUGACAUGUACGUUAAGAUUGAGAGCUGUCGAUUGAGGUGGUACAGGAAGAACCAGACGCAGAUUCGUGCCGACUUGUAUAAAGGAGUGGUUGAUGCCAUCACUUCAGGGGAGACACGGGCAAGCGCUGUUGGGGUUAGAAUAGUG